AUACGGAGGGUGCAAGCGUUAUCCGGAUUUACUGGGUGUAAAGGGCGCGUAGGCGGGGAUGCAAGUCAGAUGUGAAAUCUAUGAGCUUAACUCAUAAACUGCAUUUGAAACUGUAUUUCUUGAGUGCUGGAGAGGUAGACGGAAUUCCUUGUGUAGCGGUGAAAUGCGUAGAUAUAAGGAAGAACACCAGUGGCGAAGGCGGUCUACUGGACAGUAACUGACGCUGAGGCGCGAAAACGUGGGGAGCAAACAGGAUUAGAUACCCUGGUAGUCCACGUCGUAAACGAUGAAUACUAGGUGUGGGGGGACUGACCCCCUCCGUGCCGCAGUUAACACAAUAAGUAUUCCACCUGGGGAGUACGGCCGCAAGGUUGAAACUCAAAUGAAUUGACGGGG
rnacentral:rRNA from 1 species